rnacentral:rRNA from 1 species
AGUGAACGCUGGCGGUAGGCCUAACACAUGCAAGUCGAACGGCAGCACAGUAAGAGCUUGCUCUUACGGGUGGCGAGUGGCGGACGGGUGAGGAAUACAUCGGAAUCUACUUUUUCGUGGGGGAUAACGUAGGGAAACUUACGCUAAUACCGCAUACGACCUACGGGUGAAAGCAGGGGAUCUUCGGACCUUGCGCGAUUGAAUGAGCCGAUGUCGGAGUAGCUAGUUGGCGGGGUAAAGGCCCACCAAGGCGACGAUCCGUAGCUGGUCUGAGAGGAUGAUCAGCCACACUGGAACUGAGACACGGUCCAGACUCCUACGGGAGGCAGCAGUGGGGAAUAUUGGACAAUGGGCGCAAGCCUGAUCCAGCCAUACCGCGUGGGUGAAGAAGGCCUUCGGGUUGUAAAGCCCUUUUGUUGGGAAAGAAAAGCAGCAGGUUAAUACCCCGCUGUUCUGACGGUACCCAAAGAAUAAGCACCGGCUAACUUCGU